UACGAAGGGGGCUAGCGUUGUUCGGAUUUACUGGGCGUAAAGCGCACGUAGGCGGAUCGAUCAGUCAGGGGUGAAAUCCCAGAGCUCAACUCUGGAACUGCCUUUGAUACUGUCGAUCUGGAGUAUGGAAGAGGUGAGUGGAAUUCCGAGUGUAGAGGUGAAAUUCGUAGAUAUUCGGAGGAACACCAGUGGCGAAGGCGGCUCACUGGUCCAUUACUGACGGCUGAGGUGCGAAAGCGUGGGGAGCAAACAGG
rnacentral:rRNA from 1 species